ACGGAGGAUGCAAGCGUUAUCCGGAUUCAUUGGGUUUAAAGGGUGCGCAGGCGGAAUGAUAAGUCAGUGGUGAAAUCUCCCGGCUCAACCGGGAAACUGCCAUUGAUACUGUCGUUCUUGAGUACAGUUGAAGUGGGCGGAAUGUGUCAUGUAGCGGUUAAAUGCUUAGAUAUGACACAGAACACCGAUAGUGAAGACAGCUCAAUAAGCUGUAACUGACGCUUAGGCCCGAAAGCGUGUGGAUCAAACAG
rnacentral:rRNA from 1 species